rnacentral:rRNA from 1 species
AGAGUUUGAUCAUGGCUCAGGAUGAACGCUGGCGGCGUGCCUAACACAUGCAAGUCGAACGGGGUUAUUUUGAUGAAGUCUUCGGAUGGAAUUGAGAUAACCUAGAGGCGGACGGGUGAGUAACGCGUGGGCAACCUGCCCCAUACAGGGGGAUAACAGCCGGAAACGGCUGCUAAAACCGCAUAAGCGCACACCGGCGCAUGCCGGAGUGUGAAAAUGUGUAUCGAAAGAUAUGCAGGUAUGGGAUGGGCCCGCGUCUGAUUAGCUGGUUGGUGAGGUAACGGCCCACCAAGGCGACGAUCAGUAGCCGGCUUGAGAGAGUGACCGGCCACAUUGGGACUGAGACACGGCCCAAACUCCUACGGGAGGCAGCAGUGGGGAAUAUUGCACAAUGGGGGAAACCCUGAUGCAGCGACGCCGCGUGAGUGAAGAAGUACUUCGGUACGUAAAGCUCUAUCAGCAGGGACGAAGAUGACGGUACCUGACUAAGAAGCCCCGGCUAACUACGUGCCAGCAGCCGCGGUAAUACGUAGGGGGCGAGCGUUAUCCGGAUUUACUGGGUGUAAAGGGAGCGUAGGUGGCGAAGCAAGUCAGAUGUGAAAGCCCGGGGCUUAACUCCGGGACUGCAUUUGAAACUGUUUUGCUAGAGUGCAGGAGAGGUAAGUGGAAUUCCUAGUGUAGCGGUGAGAUGCGUAGAUAUUAGGAGGAACACCAGUGGCGAAGGCGGCUUACUGGACUGUAACUGACACUGAGGCUCGAAAGCGUGGGGAGCAAACAGGAUUAGAUACCCUGGUAGUCCACGCUGUAAACGAUGAAUACUAGGUGUUGGGGAGCGUAAGCUCUUCGGUGCCGUCGCAAACGCAUUAAGUAUUCCACCUGGGGAGUACGUUCGCAAGAAUGAAACUCAAAUGAAUUGACGG